UAAUUGAAAACGUUUUGCAUUACGGUUACUACCAUUAAUAUGAAUUAUCCAUUAUGGUUACUAUUCAUAUCACAAUCAAUUUAAAGUAUGAUUGUAUAUCUAUCUAGAAUUAAAAUUGUACAACAUUUUUAAUCUACAAUGCCAUAUAUAAUAAUUUUAUGAUUUAUUGAUAUUUUACAAUUUUUUAUGCUCCGUGUUUGAUUGUAUUUUGAAAUAAAAUGAUAAAAAAUUAUAUAUGACUGAUAACAGAUUCAGCAACAUUGUGAUUCCACGAAUACAUUAACCAAUCAUAUCGUUCAAUGAUAAACAUACGAUAGGUGUUUGUUUUCUGGGUUUAGUGUGCGUAAAUUUCGAAAUACGGCAGAGUUGUUUUUCCGUGGAGCAGCCAUGUUUGUAGUUUCGAUCGAAACAGCGUCAUGUAUUAUUUUACGAUCAGUUUUUCAUCGGUUUAUUCAAUUGCUUUUUGCUCCAAAAAUUCCAAGGAAGAUUCAUCCCUCCAUUCAUCCAUCAGUUUUAGACCUCGUUCGAGACAAUGGAAAUUCAAAUUGAUAUUUGUGUAAAAACUGUUUAUGGUCAACGUUGUAAGAUGAGGAUGGCGGUUUCCAGGCUCCCUGCAGAAAAAAACAGUAUGAAGUGCUAUUUGAUUGCUGUAUAAAAUAAAGUAUAAAGUGCUAUUGUUUUCUCGUACUUCAUGAAUACAUCGGAUUUACUUUAAUAAAACAUAUAUAAAUUAUGAAAAUAUGGUGUAUUUUAA